rnacentral:sRNA from 1 species
ACUGCGCUAGGGAUUGCAGCGGCAUCCUUUUUUUGUUCUUUUUCUGAACAAAAAAAGAUAUAGCGGAAAGCCCGCUCGAGC